GUGGGGAAUAUUGGACAAUGGGCGAAAGCCUGAUCCAGCCAUGCCGCGUGUGUGAAGAAGGUCUUCGGAUUGUAAAGCACUUUAAGUUGGGAGGAAGGGCAGUAAGUUAAUACCUUGCUGUUUUGACGUUACCGACAGAAUAAGCACCGGCUAACUUCGUGCCAGCAGCCGCGGUAAUACGAAGGGUGCAAGCGUUAAUCGGAAUUACUGGGCGUAAAGCGCGCGUAGGUGGUUUUGUAAGUUGGAGGUGAAAUCCCCGGGCUCAACCUGGGAACUGCCUCCAAAACUGCAUGACUAGAGUACGGUAGAGGGUAGUGGAAUUUCCUGUGUAGCGGUGAAGUGCGUAGAUAUAGGAAGGAACACCAGUGGCGAAGGCGACUACCUGGACUGAUACUGACACUGAGGUGCGAAAGCGUGGGGAGCAAACAGGAUUAGAAACCCGGGUAGUCC
rnacentral:rRNA from 1 species